rnacentral:rRNA from 1 species
UGAGGAAUAUUGGGCAAUGCCCGCAAGGGUGACCCAGCAACGCCGCGUGGAGGAUGAAUGUCGUAAGAUUGUAAACUCCUGUUAGAGGGGAAGAAUAGUACCGGUUGGACCGGUAUAUGACUGUACCCUCAGAGAAAGCCCCGGCUAACUACGUGCCAGCAGCCGCGGUAAUACGUAGGGGGCAAGCGUUGUCCGGAUUUACUGGGGGUAAAGGGCGCGCAGGCGGGAUAAAAAGUCAGUGGUGAAAUCCUACAGCUUAACUGUAGAACUGCCUUUGAUACUUUUAUUCUUGAGUUCGGGAGAGAGAGACGGAAUUCCAGGUGUAGUGGUGAAAUACGUAGAUAUCUGGAAGAACACCAGUUGCGAAGGCGGUCUCUUGGUCCGACACUGACGCUGAGGCGCGAAAGCGUGGG